UAUUAUUAUUGUUUUCUUGGUUUUAUUUCCACUCUUCAGGAGCCAGGAGUGUCUGGAACAAGGCAGCAAAACUUGCUCGGUUUAGACAAAGCAGUGUGACAGUCCCACCUAACAACAGCUAUGCUACUGGGAAUGCAGACAAAGGUGUCACCGUGAUUAAUGGGGCACUCAUCUGAGCACCGCAUCCAGGAGCACAGGUUGCACCUCACCCUGGUGGCCUGACUUUUGCAGGCUUUGUCUGACGUGAGCCCUGCUCAGGAACGGCUGGAAGGAAUUUAAGGACAGAGGCAAAAAGCAUGGAGCUUAGCCUCAGACUCCCCCAGGAAGGGAAGGACGUGCAUCCUGCCUGUCCUGUGCAUACGGUGCUCCUCUCCAUGGAUUCUUUCCAAGGUGUUGGUCUCCAGAAUGCUCCUGGCCCUGCUCUUUUUGGAAGCAAUGGUGAGACAUCUGUCAGUGUGAGCCCGCAGAGGGAAGCUGAGGUCUGCUCAUGGCGCUAGGAUCCAGUAACUCUUCCUGUUAGAAUGUGUUGCUUGGAUGUGAAGAGAUGCUAUUGA
rnacentral:lncRNA from 1 species